CCGCCGCAACCCACAACCCCUCGCAGUCUCCCUUCCAAUUCACCUCCUCUCCUCCCGUCAUGGCACUGGAUCAUUCCCCCAGCUUCUUCGUGCGCAGCCGCCGGCCUUGUCCUCUUCACCGACGGGAGGAGGCGAGUAGCAGCCGCACCAGGCAGCCAGCAAGAAAGACGGCUGGGCAUGGCUCCACCUCUCCCAUCCUCGGAUGUGGGCGGAGUCGGCGGUUGGCGGCGAGCGCCGGACAGGCAGAGGGAGCGCCCUGGUCGAGGGAUAGCAGCGGCGGGGGUUCCGCCAACCGCGGAGGAGGAGGAAGAAGGGGCGAUGGGCGACUACUGCGCGGUGGCGGCGGCGGAUGGGGAGCAGCCGGUCACGGUGUCCGUGCUGCCGCUGCCGCCGCCGCUGGCUAGGUACCUGUACGGAGACUACGACCGCUGCUCCACCAAGCAGGUCUUCGAGAACCUCCACGGCAACAUCUCCCUCGACCCGACAGAACAAAAGGGCCAUUGUUAAACUGGUCUAGGCGGCAAGAUAAUUACAGGGUUAACAGAGGGAAUUGUUUACCUGCAUAAGCACUCCAGGUUCUGGCUUAUCCAUAGAGACUUGAAACCACAUAAUGUCCUCUUGGAUUGUAACAUGAUCCCAAAGAUUGCUGAUUUUGGAUCAUCUAGAGCACUGCGUUCAGAUGUAGCAGAGGAGAGCACGAGUAGGGUCAUUGGAACCAGUGGUUACAAAGCUCCGAAGUAUGCAUCUUGAGGAGUUUACUCGAUGAAGACAGAUGUGUUCAACUUUGGCGUUUUGGUUCUGGUGAUUAUUAGUGGCCGAAAGAACACCAUACUCGACAAGCGAGGGGAUAUUGUUGGUGAUCUUGUACGAGAAGUGAGACAAGACUGGCAUAUGUGGAAGGAGCAAAGGUUGCAUGAGCUUGUGGAUCCAUUGUUAGCGAAUGGAUAUAGAGUCGCUGAGAUAAGAAAAUGCUCUCAUGUGGCAAUGCCUUGUGCUCAGGAAGAUCCAGCAGACUGGCCCACCAUGACAGAUGUUGCUGCAAUGCUAAACUCUAAAAGCAUAAGCUUACCAAUGGAGCCUAAGCAGCCCGCUGUGCUGAUCCAUGGGUGUGCCGACUAUAUAAGAUCGGUUGCAAGACUGUACAGUGUGUAUUCAAAUGAGGCUAGAGGUAAAUAUAUACUUCUAUGAACUAAAAAUCUAUGGUAAAAUAGAUGCUCAUGGUACUUCAGGGUCUUGUAGUCCACUUCAAAUGUAUGUGAGAAUCUGAUCUCAUUUUGAAUGUUUGUGUGUUGCUUUUCUCCAAUUCGUCGACAGGUUAAUCCAAUUGGGUGAUAUGAUUCAUGGAGUUGAUUUAUUUGACAUACUAAAUAGGUAUGGUACUAUUAGUUCAUGAACAUAAGAUGUGCUUGAGAGGUUCUUACGAGCCAGAUACAUACCUCCAGCUACUUUCUUAUUUUUAUUUGUGUUACAAAAAGGGGUAGUGUAAACUUUGGUCAGCUGAUGUAUUAACCAGUUAACUUGUUGGGUUCUUUACAUUGCGUUUUUUUUACCAAUAUGUUCUUGUUGCAGUUUCUGAAACCAAAGCUCAAAUAAGUUUAAAUGAGUGCAAGUUGGUACUACUUUGUAGUUAGUCUUUCAUUUCCAGCCACCUUAUAGUCUUAUUCUUUUAUUGUCAUUGUCAUGCUGCAGUAAGGUCGAUAGAACAAAAGGUUCAAUCAUCGUGACUAAUAGUGCAUUCAGUGGUUGAGGAUCUCAUAUGUUUUCCCAUUAAACAUGAUAUACCUAUAUACAUAGUCUUCCUUUCUGCAAACAUUAAAUGGUUCUUAAAUUAGCUGCUAGGUCAGCUAUGAAUGGGCUUUUUUAGUUGGUCAUGCACAUAUACAUAGGCUGAUUGGCAUCGCUAAGGAAAUAAGGCAAACUGAAAUGCUACAAGAAAUGACAGCUUUAUAUACUUUGUCCAUUGUUAGCAGAGCUUCAGCCGGUGAACAGGAGGACAAAAGACAAUUGCUCCGUCAUCGUAAACUUCCACUGCUAGCCGAGCUUCAACCUGCUAGCCCCUCAAGUGUACAAUUGGUUCUAUCCAGAUUGAUUUUACAAUUUUCUGUUGUUAUCCGUAGGAUAUAGUGGUUAAUCUGGUUGGGAAUAAUCCGCCACCCAAGGGGAUCAAUGUCUAAGAUAUUGUUGUUUGUUCAAAGCAGGGUUGUUUUGUUAUUAGCUGUAAAUUCUAUUGCAAGUCCUUGCUUAUAUAUGCAUGUUUGUCAGCAAUUAGAGAAAAAUGGGAUGGAAGGGUCGCUUGUCAAUCUGGCACCGCACUUAGGAGGCGCCUAGUAAAGAUUGAACCUGAACGGCCACCACGGCAAGUCUCGGUCUAUCCCGUCUAUCCCACUAAAUUUGUAAGCUUUCCCACUGCAAGACUAUUCAGUUUUCCACUAAUUUCUGUCACGUGUGAAAUCCAGGCGGAGACA